rnacentral:rRNA from 1 species
UACGAAGGGGGCUAGCGUUGCUCGGAAUCACUGGGCGUAAAGGGUGCGUAGGCGGGUCUUUAAGUCAGGGGUGAAAUCCUGGAGCUCAACUCCAGAACUGCCUUUGAUACUGAGGAUCUUGAGUAUGGGAGAGGUGAGUGGAACUGCGAGUGUAGAGGUGAAAUUCGUAGAUAUUCGCAAGAACACCAGUGGCGAAGGCGGCUCACUGGCUCGAUACUGACGCUGAGGUGCGAAAGCGUGGGGAGCAAACAGG